rnacentral:misc_RNA from 1 species
GAUGAAGAACGUAGCGAAAUGCGAUAAGUAGUGUGAAUUGCAGAAUUCAGUGAAUCAUCGAAUCUUUGAACGCACAUUGCGCCCCUUGGUAUUCCAUGGGGCAUGCCUGUUCGAGCGUCAUUUGUACCUUCAAGCUCUGCUUGGUGUUGGGUGUUUUGUCUCGCCUCUGCGUGUAGACUCGCCUUAAAACAAUUGGCAGCCGGCGUAUUGAUUUCGGAGCGCAGUACAUCUCGCGCUUUGCACUCAUAACGGCGACGUCCAAAAGUACAUUUUUACACUCUUGACCUCGGAUCAGGUAGGGAUACCCGCUGAACUUAAGCAUAUCAAUAGCGGAGGA